AUUGAACGCUGGCGGCAGGCCUAACACAUGCAAGUCGAACGAGUGGCGGACGGGUGAGUAAUGUCUGGGAAACUGCCUGAUGGAGGGGGAUAACUACUGGAAACGGUAGCUAAUACCGCAUACCAUCAGAUGUGCCCAGUGUGGUUUAGCUUGUGGGUGGGGGAACGGCGCACCAAGGCGACGAUCCCGAGCUGGUCAGAGCGGAUGACCAGCCACACGGGAACUGAGACACGGUCCAGACUCCUACUGGAGGCAGCAGUGGGGAAUAUUGCACAAUGGGCGCAAGCCUGAUGCAGCCAUGCCGCGUGUAUGAAGAAGGCCUUCGGGUUGUAAAGUACUUUCAGCGGGGAGGCGUUACCCGCAGAAGAAGCACCGGCUAACUCCGUGCAAGCAGCCGCGGUAAUAC
rnacentral:rRNA from 1 species